GAAAAUUACUCAAAAUGACCUACAUCUUGAUUGAAAUAACUAGAUUGACUCUGUUUUGAAAGACAUAACUAGAAUGACUCAUAUCUUUUGUAAAAAGACCUUUUAACCUGUUUAUACGUUAUAAUAACGAAAUUGCCAUUUUUAUUUAAUUUUGAAACAAAAAAAAACAAAAAUCAUUUUUAUAUCACAAAACCAAACAAAAAAAAUCCAAAACUUUUUAUUCUUCUUCGUUUCUUCAUUGCCGUCGACGAACAAUAACCCUAAAAGAGAGAAAAUCUCUAAACUUGUCUUCUCUAGUGAGUGUGUCGUCUUCUCCGGCUACGGUACUUCUCCGGCGAGUCGUCUUCUAUGAUGAAUCUACGGUCGUCUUCUGUAUUUUGUGGCCAUUGUAUUUCGCUUCUCCCCUCUUCUUCUCUAUGCUGCUUCUUCCUCCUCCGCCAGAUCGUCGCUUCUCUCUUCUCCACCGCUUCUACUUCGUCUUCUUAGGCUUUGCCGCCAACAACUACGCCAAAUUCCCUCACCAGUAGCAGCUACAUCGAGGUUUUCAUUUGAUUUGUGGUCUUUUUGAUAAAUUAAGUUGUAAAUACGUAUCGCAUGAAAAGUGUUCAAAGAAAUGUCAGUUUUGACGGCAGACUUAUUUGUUAGUUAUCGCAGAUUUAUUUAUUUUUCAUUAAAGAUUUGUUUGUUGGUUGCAUUGUUUUGAUUGCAGAUUUAUUGGUUCUUGAUGGGUUCUGUCUAGUCAUCGACAUAGAUUCCGGUGGAGUUAACUUCAGUGACUAUGAAUUUCGCUGGUUGAUAUCUCAAAGCUAAUGUCUCUACUCGUUGUGUGCGGUUGAUGCUUAUGCGGUUCAUUGUUGGGUUUUUGUUCUAGCCUUUGUUUUAUCUUUCAGUUAUGCAUUUUUUUUUGUUGUUGUCUUAGGCUUGAUAAUAUGAUGUGUAGAUUAUUCUAGGCUUGUUGCAGAUUAUUGUCGUCUUCCGCAGAUUUAUUUUAAAUGGUCGCAGAUUUAUUGUUGUCUAUCUCAUUUUUGUUUUAAGUGAUCACAUAUUUUUUACUC